UUUGCAGAGGAAGCUUUGGGCGCGGCACCGACCGAGUCCCCUGGAACGGGGCGCCAUAGAGGGUGAGAGCCCCGUAUGGUCGGACGCCUAGCCUGUGUAAAGCUCCUUCGACGAGUCGAGUAGUUUGGGAAUGCUGCUCAAAAUGGGAGGUAAAUUUCUUCUAAAGCUAAAUACCGGCCAGAGACCGAUAGCGCACAAGUAGAGUGAUCGAAAGAUGAAAAGCACUUUGAAAAGAGGGUUAAAUAGCACGUGAAAUUGUUGAAAGGGAAGCGCUUGUGACCAGACUUGCGCCCGGCUGAUCAUCCGGUGUUCUCACCGGUGCACUCUGCCGGGCUCAGGCCAGCAUCGGUUCUCGCGGGGGGACAAAGGCCCUGGGAACGUAGCUCCUCCGGGAGUGUUAUAGCCCUGGGUGCAAUGCCCUCGCGGGGACCGAGGUUCGCGCAUCUGCAAGGAUGCUGGCGUAAUGGUCACCAGCGACCCGUC
rnacentral:rRNA from 1 species